CCCAACCUUCGGAAACAUAACCUUAAAAACAAAUAUGGAAUAGAAUCGUUUUGCAAACAAGUGAGAUUUAAUAAUCAAUCAAGACGUGAAAUUUUUGUGAUUCAUUGAGAAUUAUGCGAUUAAAAGGAUGGAGAUAUGGUGUGUUUGUUGGAAGUUUUUUUGGACUUAUAGGUACUUGCUGUUAUGCUACCAUGAUACAACCUAUGUUGAAUCCUGAACCAUACAAAAGAUUUAGAGAACAAAUCUCCUGGGACAAGCCUAAAUAACAAACCUGAGAUUUGGUUUUGUGAUUAUCUGCAGACCUGGAAUUUGUUAAUUUAAUUUAUGAUGUUACAUAAAAUUCUGUGAGAUAGGUGAUCAAUAUAAAAUUUAAUGGAUUGUUUACUGUACAA